AGUCUGGACUUCAUUCAUCCAAGGAGCAUCGAUAAAACCUACAGCGAUACCAAUAAAUAACAUAAAAUCUCAGCUGGAGGCGGCUCGCAGGGCCUCAAUAGCCGUGAACACUACUUUGCAUUCUUUUUGCCACAACACUCCAAUGGCUUCUGCGGUAAGCUGUCCUCACUUUAUUCAUAUGCUACUCAACCGGACAGAACUUACAUUCCCUCAGCUCUACAUUCAACACAAUAUCACCAUCGCGCAGACAGACUUAGUCAAGAUUGCUCUAUCCAAUAUGUCUGCAACCCUCAGUCAAUAUGUUACUGUGUUGAAGAAUCAGAGGAAAAGAGAAUAUGAUAGGCUGUGUGCCCCUGCCAAACGUAUACAGACAGAGUGUCAUUAUCCCGC